rnacentral:rRNA from 1 species
AGUGAACGCUGGCGGCGUGCUUAACACAUGCAAGUCGAACGAGAACGGGCUAUAGCUUGCAAUAGUUGUCAGCUAAGUGGCGCACGGGUGAGUAAUGUAUAGGUAAUAUGCCUCUUACUAAGGGAUAACAAAUGGAAACGUUUGCUAAUACCUUAUACUCCUUAUUAACAGAAGUUAAUAAGGGAAAGAUUUAUUGGUAAGAGAUUAGCCUGUAUUGUAUCAGUUAGUUGGUGGGGUAAUGGCUUACCAAGACUAUGACACAUAACUGGUUUGAGAGGAUGAUCAGUCACACUGGAACUGAGACACGGUCCAGACUCCUACGGGAGGCAGCAGUGGGGAAUAUUGCACAAUGGACGAAAGUCUGAUGCAGCAACGCCGCGUGGAGGAUGACACAUUUCGGUGCGUAAACUCCUUUUAUAUGAGAAGAUAAUGACGGUAUUAUAUGAAUAAGCACCGGCUAACUCCGUGCCAGCAGCCGCCGUAA